ACUGAACGCUGGCGGCAUGCCUUACACAUGCAAGUCGAACGGUAACAGGUCUUCGGAUGCUGACGAGUGGCGAACGGGUGCGUAAUACAUCGGAACGUGCCCGAUCGUGGGGGAUAACGAAGCGAAAGCUUUGCUAAUACCGCAUAAGAUCUACGGAUGAAAGCAGGGGACCGCAAGGCCUUGCGCGAACGGAGCGGCCGAUGGCAGAUUAGGUAGUUGGUGGGAUAAAAGCUUACCAAGCCGACGAUCUGUAGCUGGUCUGAGAGGACGACCAGCCACACUGGGACUGAGACACGGCCCAGACUCCUACGGGAGGCAGCAGUGGGGAAUUUUGGACAAUGGGCGAAAGCCUGAUCCAGCCAUGCCGCGUGCAGGAUGAAGGCCUUCGGGUUGUAAACUGCUUUUGUACGGAACGAAAAGACUCUGGUUAAUACCUGGGGUCCAUGACGGUACCGUAAGAAUAAGCACCGGCUAACUACGU
rnacentral:rRNA from 1 species